rnacentral:lncRNA from 10 species
GCUCUUUAGUUUCUGUUGUCAAGUCUCUAUUAGGUAGACUUUCUGGGGUGGAAGGGGGUCUUCCGGAGGUACCCAGUCAGGCCCCUUUUGUUUCACAGAUGAGACUGAAGCCCAGACAGGUCAAGAGAGGUGAUUGGACAGAUGGUUCCAUAGCCAGGUAGUGCCAGUACUCACUAGCCAUGGAGAUGAGAGCAAUCUAGGUAGUUACAAUUUGCAAGAGCCCCUUAGUCCGAAGGAAGCAGGAGAGUGCCAUUCAGUCCACACAGCUGUCUUGAGAAGAGGGAAAGAACGGAUGCGUUCUCAAGGUUGCUUAGCUGUUAGAAGCAGGGAGGCCACCCGAAGGUUUGGUGG